CUCUUCGAUCCGGAGAUCGUCUCCAAGAUCCUUGCUGGCCUUGAUAUGGAGUAUAAUCCUGUCGUUUCUGCUCUUGUUGCACGGGUGGAACCUAUCACGGUUCCGGAGCUGCACAGUCAGCUGCUCAGUUUUGAUG
rfam:Triticum aestivum genome assembly, contig: Triticum_aestivum_CS42_TGACv1_scaffold_487557_6AS